CUUAAAAAAUAAAACAGUAUAUAUAUUCAUUUUUCCAUUUAUAAUGUAAAUAAUAAAUUUGCCACAUUUGUUUCUGCAUAUUGCCUUUUCAGCCAGCCUAUGGCAUUUGUUCUAUGUUUUAGUAAAGAGCUGCAGUAUUAAAGGAUAUACCUUAAUGUGUUUAUCCAGUUUCCCCAUCAGUGGACAUUAAGAUUGUUUUCAGAGUAGUCUUACAAACCGUACAGUUUGUCAUUUCAGACACAUAUGAGAAUAUUAGUAGGAUAAAUUAUUUUAAGUAUGCGUUUAUAAAUUUAUGGAUAUUGCCAUAUUUCCAUCUGAUGGGAAGUAUAUUCCUGUUAACAAUAUGUCAAAGUGCCUGUUUUUCUAAACUGUCUUCAGUGCAGUGAAUUAUUAAACUUCUGGAUCUCUGCCAGUCUGAGAGGUGAAAAAUAACAUCUCUGUGUAACUUUAAUUUGCAUUUCUCUGAGAUUGAGCAACUUUGUGUAAUUUAAAAGAUAAUUUAGGAGGUGGAUCCUGUACCUGGUGAGCCCCUCCCAGCCUUCCCUCUGGCCCAGCUCCAGCCACCAUGUGUCUCUCCUCCUCCCCACCUUGUGGAGGGCAGCAUCCCUCCAGCUUUGGCUCUGUGGAUGGCUGUCCCAGAGCAACUGCUCAGGACUGACCCACACCCCCAGGACUGCUGACGUCUCUGGGGAGCUUCCCUGGCCCCCACCAGACAUCUUGCACCCGGGAGCCCCCUCAGGCCAUUAGCAUCAAGGAGGCUAGGUCCUCAAAUCUGCCUGCCCCGGAGAGGACCAUGGCUAGGCAGAGUAAGGAGCCAAACUCCUGGCAGGCCCUCAUGUCUGCACAGCCUUCACCACGCUGCAGGUCCAUGCCUUGGAGGGCAUCUUCUGGCACCACAAGUACCUGGGCCCUCUGAAGCAGAAGAGGUUGGCCAGGGAGAUACAGCUCUCGGAGGUCCAGAUAAAAACCUGGUUUCACAAUCACCGGAUGAAACACAAAUGGCAAAUGCAGGACUCCCAGCUGAACACCCCUUUCUUGGGGUAUCUCCACGCACCCCUGGCUUUCCACUCACUGUCUUCUGACCUUGCCAAUGGCCUGUAGCUGCUGUGCCCUUGGGCACCCCUACCUGGGCCUCAGGCUCUGAUGCUGCCCCUGGCUCCUUUUGGGGUCUCUGCCAAGUGGAACAAGAGGCCCUUGCCUCUGUGGGGGCUUUCUGCUGUGGGCAGCCUCUGGCCUACCACCCUCCCAAGCCCAGGAAGUGGUGUGCAUAUUCUGGGACCAGCUCUCUCUAAGGUGCCCUGGGGCCUGUGUGCUCUGCCGGAGACAGGGGAUAUCCUGCAUUUUGAGGAAGCACCUGACUCCCUGCUUCCCACACACGCAGUCUGUGCAGAUUGCACCUAGUGUCUACCCGGAGGACUCAGCUUUCUGUUUACAUCGUGGUGGCACCUCUCACCCUGAUGCAUGCAAAGGUUCUAGAGACUUCUGGAAAAUAUAUUUAUAAAAACCACCUCUUCACUGAAAGUUACCAAAAGGGUCAGUUUAGGAAGUAAAUGAAGGGUCAGUGAACAGAGUCAAAUGUAGAAGUGGGCUUGUUAUAGAUAGGGCUUUCAGCAUAUGAUAAAAAGAUAAUUUGUUUUUUAAAAAGCAUUGGAAAAACUGGUUUUCCAGUUAGAAAAGGUAAAGGUUGUAAGCUUUGUGUGUAAAAAAGAAAACCAUGAAGGAUUGGAAGGGAAUUCAGAUGUCUUGUUUAUAACCUGUGGUUUGAGUUCCUCUUAACAAGGACUCCAAAGCUGAAAAGCAUGAGGGAACAAAGGUGAAAAUUAAGGUGGGUUGCUGGGGCCCUGCAGUGGUUCUAGGCCGUGCAUGAGCCAGGACUGUGCCUGCAGCAUGCUUGAGGCUGCUCUUCUUGGGCCAGGGAAAGCGGGUAGCUGGGACCUGCAGCUGUGCCUGGACUGAAGCUGUCCCACAUGUCCCCACCCUCCAGCAUGUGCUUACCUGUCCUCCUCCUCACAGUAGCCUCAGGACAAAACAGAAUGACUCAAGGAGAGCACUUCCUACAAAAGUCUAGAAGUGCCCAAAAUGGGAGGCACGGAAGCCCCUCCUCUCCCUCAUUGAUGGACCAUUCUUGGUGCAGACUCCUGACUACAGGCACCGAACCUUAGAAAAGCGUGCAACCGUCCGUGUCGCCCCAGAGUACCCAGGAGGCAGGCAGUGCAGGGCGCCCAGACAGACAGGUUCAGCCUGCAGGACUGGGAGGCCACCUGUGAAACCAACCCAGGCAUCCCAACAGGAACAAAAGUGUGGUCCUGUGGCCGUGUCCACAGCAAGUUCCACUUUCCCCUUGCCUAUUUCUGCAUUGUUGGAAGUGUUUACAACUAGCAUGUGCUUUUAUAAUACAACUUCAGGUAAGAGUGGGGGAAAAAAUCAUUUAAAUUUAUUUUUCUGAGCAUUCUCUGUUGAUUUUUUUUACCCAUUUUUAUUAGGGUAUCAAGGUUUUUCUGACUCGUUUGUAGAAGCUCUUUAUAUUUUUUAGAAAUGAGCGCUUUGCCUAUGGUAAAACUGAAAAUAUUGUUCCCUAGGUGGUCAUUUACAUUUUCUGCAUUGCAGAAGAUACCAUUAGCUAUUUUUAAUUUUUUUAAUUUAAAUAUUUCUCAGUUUAUUGUAACUUUUCUAGGAAUUGGGUGAUAUUUAGGAAGCCUUUCCUUACUCCAAGAUUAUAAAAAUAGUUUUCUUCUGGA